AGAGUUUGAUCCUGGCUCAGAACGAACGCUGGCGGCAUGCCUAACACAUGCAAGUCGAACGUGAUCCGGGGCUUGCUCCGGUGAAAGUGGCGGACGGGUGAGUAACGCGUGGGAACCUGCCCAGUGGUCGGGGAUAACUGCGGGAAACUGCAGCUAAUACCCGGUAAGCCCUACGGGGGAAAGAUUUAUCGCCAUUGGAGGGGCCCGCGUCGGAUUAGGUAGUUGGUGGGGUAAAGACCUACCAAGCCUACGAUCCGUAGCUGGUCUGAGAGGAUGAUCAGCCACACUGGGACUGAGAUACGGCCCAGACUCCUACGGGAGGCAGCAGUGGGGAAUAUUGGACAAUGGGCGCAAGCCUGAUCCAGCAAUGCCGCGUGAGUGAAGAAGGCCUUAGGGUUGUAAAGCUCUUUCGGCGGGGACGAUGAUGACGGUACCCGCAGAAGAAGCCCCGGCUAACUCCGUGCCAGCAGCCGCGGUAAUACGGAGGGGGCUAGCGUUGUUCGGAAUUACUGGGCGUAAAGGGCGCGUAGGCGGCGCGAUAAGUUGGGCGUGAAAGGCCCGGGCUCAACCCGGGGACUGCGCUUGAUACUGUCGCGCUGUGAGUCCGGGAGAGGAUGGCGGAAUUCCCAGUGUAGAGGUGAAAUUCGUAGAUAUUGGGAAGAACACCGGUGGCGAAGGCGGCCAUCUGGACCGGCACUGACGCUGAGGCGCGAAAGCGUGGGGAGCAAACAGGAUUAGAUACCCUAGUAGUCC
rnacentral:rRNA from 1 species